rnacentral:rRNA from 1 species
UAAAGGCCUACCAAGGCGACGAUCUGUAGCGGGUCUGAGAGGAUGAUCCGCCACACUGGAACUGAGACACGGUCCAGACUCCUACGGGAGGCAGCAGUGGGGAAUUUUGGACAAUGGGGGCAACCCUGAUCCAGCCAUGCCGCGUGAGUGAAGAAGGCCUUCGGGUUGUAAAGCUCUUUCGGCCGGGACGAAAUCGCACGGGCUAAUAUCCUGUGUGGAUGACGGUACCGGAAUAAGAAGCACCGGCUAACUACGUGCCAGCAGCCGCGGUAAUACGUAGGGUGCGAGCGUUAAUCGGAAUUACUGGGCGUAAAGCGUGCGCAGGCGGUUUGAUAAGACAGGCGUGAAAUCCCCGGGGCUUAACCUGGGAACUGCGCUUGUGACUGUCUCACUAGAGUACGGCAGAGGGGGGUGGAAUUCCACGUGUAGCAGUGAAAUGCGUAGAGAUGUGGAGGAACACCGAUGGCGAAGGCAGCCCCCCUGGGCCGAUACUGACGCUCAUGCACGAAAGCGUGGGGAGC